rnacentral:rRNA from 1 species
UACGUAGGGGGCAAGCGUUGUCCGGAUUUACUGGGCGUAAAGAGCGCGUAGGCGGAGAUCUAAGCGUGGCCUGAAAGCCCCCGGCUCAACCGGGGAGUGCGGCUGCGAACUGGGUUUCUUGAGGACGAUAGAGGAGAGUGGAAUUCCUGGUGUGGCGGUGAAAUGCGUAGAUAUCAGGAGGAACACCCGAGGCGAAGGCGGCUCUCUGGGUCGUACCUGACGCUGAGGCGCGAAAGCGUGGGGAGCGAACGGG